rnacentral:rRNA from 1 species
GGCGGCGUGCUUAACACAUGCAAGUCGAACGAUGAAGUGGAGCUUGCUCCACGGAUUAGUGGCGAACGGGUGAGGAACACGUGAGAAACCUGCCUCGGAUUUUGGGAUAACAAAUGGAAACGUUUGCUAAUACCAAAUAACGUCGGAGAGUCACAUGACUUUCUGACGAAAGGAAUUCCGAUUCGAGAGGGUCUCGCGGCCUAUCAGCUUGUUGGCGGGGUAAUGGCCCACCAAGGCAACGACGGGUAGCUGGUCUGAGAGGAUGGUCAGCCACACUGGGACUGAGACACGGCCCAGACUCCUACGGGAGGCAGCAGUGGGGAAUCUUGCGCAAUGGGCGAAAGCCUGACGCAGCAACGCCGCGUGCGGGAAGAAGGCUUUCGGGCUGUAAACCGCUUUCAGCAGGAACGAAAAUGACGGUACCUGCAGAAGAAGGAGCGGCCAACUAUGUGCCAGCAGCCGCGGUGAUACAUAGGCUUCAAGCGUUGUCCGGAUUUAUUGGGCGUAAAGAGUUCGUAGGCGGUCGAGUAAGUCGGGUGUGAAAAUUCUGGGCUCAACCCAGAGACGCCACCCGAUACUGCUUAACUUGAGUUCGAUAGGGGAGUGGGGAAUUCCUAGUGUAGCGGUGAAAUGCGCAGAUAUUAGGAGGAACACCGGUGGCGAAGGCGCCACUCUGGAUCGACACUGACGCUGAGGAACGAAAGCAUGGGUAGCAAACAGGAUUAGAUACCCUGGUAGUCCAUGCGGUAAACGGUGGGCACUAGGUGUGGGUUUCUAUUAA